rnacentral:rRNA from 1 species
UACGAAGGGGGCUAGCGUUGCUCGGAAUCACUGGGCGUAAAGCGCACGUAGGCGGAUUGUUAAGUCAGGGGUGAAAUCCUGGAGCUCAACUCCAGAACUGCCUUUGAUACUGGCGAUCUUGAGUCCGGGAGAGGUGAGUGGAACUGCGAGUGUAGAGGUGAAAUUCGUAGAUAUUCGCAAGAACACCAGUGGCGAAGGCGGCUCACUGGACUGGUAUUGACGCUGAGGUGCGAAAGCGUGGGGAGCAAACAGGG